rnacentral:rRNA from 1 species
UACGGGGGGGGCAAGCGUUGUUCGGAAUUACUGGGCGUAAAGGCUCGUAGGCGGCCAACUAAGUCAGACGUGAAAUCCCUCGGCUUAACCGGGGAACUGCGUCUGAUACUGGAUGGCUUGAAUCCGGGAGAGGGAUGCGGAAUUCCAGGUGUAGCGGUGAAAUGCGUAGAUAUCUGGAGGAACACCGGUGGCGAAGGCGGCAUCCUGGACCGGCAUUGACGCUGAGGAGCGAAAGCCAGGGGAGCAAAGCGGG